UUGAUGGAGAGUUUGAUCCUGGCUCAGGACGAACGCUGGCGGCGUGCUUAACACAUGCAAGUCGAGCGGAAAGGCCCCUUCGGGGGUACUCGAGCGGCGAACGGGUGAGUAACAC
rnacentral:rRNA from 1 species